CAGGGGAUUGCAGUGGCAAAGCUAGGCUAGGUCUUGGAGGCUGGUGUAAGGCGAUGCGGGUGAAGGCAGGAGGCUGAUGGAGAGACUGGGGGGAAGAAAAGCCGAAAUGGAUUCACGGUGCCUUGGAUGAAGGACGAGAGGGGAACUGCAAGCUCCUUCAACUGGUUCUGUCCGGUGAGAAGUGAUCAAGCUUGGGCUGACAAGAGGCUCAGGGAGCCCUCACGUUCUUUCGCUUUUUUACCUGCCAAUCAAACUGCUACAAGACAACACCCUGAUCUGGCAUGGACAUUCAUUACAGUCACCUGGAGUCACGGAAAUGACCAUGAUUGCCUGAACUUUCAUGACUUCUGUGGAUAACUGUGGUUGCAGAAAAGAGAAAACCUGGACCGUGAGGGACAUUUCACUCCCUGGGCUUUGGCCUCCCUACAGCGUUGGCUCAGCUCUAGCUACUUGGAAGGUCGUGGCAAUGCUGUCUCAGAAUGUCCAUUUCUAGAGUACAGAGAAGAAAUUCUAGCUUGACGUCCACGUGCAUUUGUCUGUGUUUCAGAGGAAAUUCCAAUUCUAAACUCUUGGAAGAAACAAUUUCUCGGCAUGCUGAAGAGAAUUGCUGUUUUUUGGCACCCGAAACACUUUUACCCGAGGGUUCUGAUUAUUUAAAUAAUUGGUAUGCUAUAACUAUUCUGGUUGACAGAAAUGUGGUUUAAUGUAGAUGAGUUGUAAAAACAUGAGACAAACAUGCUCCAGGCUA
rnacentral:sRNA from 1 species